UAUGAUUUUCAGUGACGUUCCUUAUCAAACAUGAAAGCUUUUUAUGUAAUAUUGAAUAGAAGUUGUCAAGAUUUAGUGGUGUAAUGUCAGGCAGAAUUAUGACAAAAAUCCUGUCCUGUUAAGGGGUUAAACUCAAGAAAAUGUAUUCAUACGUCAGUAGUGGUUCAGGGUGCCGGAAGUGGGUAUUAUUGCAGGGUCGCAUGAAACAGGCAUUAUAAAAGUGUUGCAUUUUAUAAAUAAAGGGAUGUCUGUGAGGGCAUUACAGUGCUGAAAAAAGGCUAAAAACUCUAAAGUAACAAACAUGCUGGAACAGAAACUGAGGAACUAAGCAGAUCAAUCAGUUUCAGAAUAAGUUUAAGGUCAGUAUUUAGACCCUUCUGACUUUCACGUAAGCUCUUGUACGGGAACAGGAAGACUCUUCUGACUGUGCCUAGCACCAUCACAGCAAAAUCUUCUGAGGUGGUUUGGGUUUCCUGGACAUACAAGUGCCAUGUGACUUCAAGAAGCUGCACAAAAAGAAACAAAAAGAAUAGCUAGUUAAAGAAAAGAGAAGUAAGAGGAAUACAACCAUUCAGCUUUUAGCUCUGGAGAGUCAUGGAGAAUAUGUGGAUGUUGGGAGCCGUGCUGGUUCUGGCUGUCUGUCUCACCUCAGGAGAAGCGGUCAGAAUGUCUUACAAAACAACUUCUGAAAAUCUUGAAGGUUCCAGGAAUGAGAGUGUUGAAGUGGGCACCAACAUAACUUUACUCUGUACCAAUAAAAAGGUAGCAUGGGAUGAGAUGAUUUAUGUAAUCUGGAAAAUCUACUCACAAGAGAGGAACUGUACAAUCUCUAUGGCCUCAAAUGACGCUGCCUAUGAUGACUGUAAUGAUGGAAAGUGGAUCAGUGAAAGUGAAAACUACAGCCUGAUCUUCCCUCAUUUUUCAAUCCAAAAUGAAGGCCAUUACAUCUGUGACAUGUCUUACCAAGUCGGGGGCUAUAUGGAAUCAAUUCUUGUGUCUUCAUAUGACCGUCCGACACUGACUGGCUGGCUGGAAAAGGAUAAAGAUGGUCACACUUUUGCCGUCUGUAGAGCUCAGGGUAAACCAGCAGCUUCCAUUUACUGGAAAACCCCGUGGAACGUCUCCUCACCCAGAACAAACUCAUCUAUAAAUUUUACAGUGACGAGCCGUUUACAGCUGCCUCAUAAGGCAUCUCCCAUUGAAUUGACCUGCGUAGUCCCCUCCAGCUCCUGCAACAAGGAAGAGAUUCAAUUCAACACCUUCCAGGAUCGACAAACACCAGAUUUCUCUAUUGCAUGGCCUUUCAUUCUUCUGGGUGUCUGUGUGACAUGCAUCACCGUUACUUUUCUGACCGCUCUCUACAUCAUGCGAGAAAAAAUUGGACAGUUAAGUGUAUUCAGAAAGCUUUGCUGCACACCUCAAAUCCCAACACCUGCAAGAGAAGAAAAAACACCACAGCCUCGUGAUCCUGAAGAAGUGGAGCCCUACGCCAGCUACGUGCAGAGGGUCAACUCCAUCUACAACUCAUCUGCUGAACUUUUCAAUGCCUGAUCUGUACACUCUCUCUCUCACACACAAAUUACAGAGUCUUACACAAUCUGAUGAAACUGCAGAUUAUGAUUGAUGACUAUACAGUGCAGAGUGGAGUAAGGUGUACAGAUAAAGAUGACGCAUGCAGCACUCACUGCUGCACACCUACUCUGUGGACAAAAAGUGUGUGUAAGUGUGUGUGUACACUAAUACGGCUGGAAACAAAAGACUAAUGAAACCCCUUCAAAAGAGCUUCCUCCAACAAACAGACGCUGAUGAGAGAAACGCAAACCAGAGUGAGUCAGUUCGAAAGGCAGAGUGGAAAGAGAAGGAUUUGCCUUCACUGCACAAUAUGAAGAAUCGUCCAGAGGGCUGGCUUAGACUCUAGAACUGAAGCGUGAAGAACCGUGCUACUACAAAGACAUUUAGACCUCAAAACCACAAACCUGAACAGAACUGAGCCAGACCUGACGUUAAAGAGCUUGGAAAGACUCUAGGAGGUUACCUGCUGAUCAUAUUUGCACUUACUGCUCAGGAGUGAAAGCAAAAAUGCUUUAUAUACAAUUUAACCAUUGUGUGUGUAUAUAUAUAUAUAUAUAUAUAUAUAUAUAUAUAUUCAGUUAGCAAGGUGUGGACAGUUUUAAAAAAUAAAGAUGCUUUAAAUGGUUCUUUAAGCA
rnacentral:lncRNA from 1 species